rnacentral:rRNA from 1 species
GACGAACGCUGGCGGCGUGCUUAACACAUGCCAGUCGAACGGAAAGGCCCUGCUUUUGUGGGGUGCUCGAGUGGCGAACGGGUGAGUAACACGUGAGUAACCUGCCCUUGACUUUGGGAUAACUUCAGGAAACUGGGGCUAAUACCGGAUAGGAGCUCCUGCUGCAUGGUGGGGGUUGGAAAGUUUCGGCGGUUGGGGAUGGACUCGCGGCUUAUCAGCUUGUUGGUGGGGUAGUGGCUUACCAAGGCUUUGACGGGUAGCCGGCCUGAGAGGGUGACCGGCCACAUUGGGACUGGGAUACGGCCCAGACUCCUACGGGAGGCAGCAGUGGGGAAUAUUGCACAAUGGGCGGAAGCCUGAUGCAGCAACGCCGCGUGCGGGAUGACGGCCUUCGGGUUGUAAACCGCUUUCGCCUGUGACGAAGCGUGAGUGACGGUAAUGGGUAAAGAAGCACCGGCUAACUACGUG